ACGCUCGACACCUACGAGAGGCAGCAGUGGGGAAUAUUGCACAAUGGGGGAAACCCUGAUGCAGCGACGCCGCGUGGAGGAAGAAGGUCUUCGGAUUGUAAACUCCUGUUGUUGGGGAAAAAGAGGAUGGUACCCAACAAGGAAGUGACGGCUAACUACGUGCCAACAGCCGCGGUAAUCUGAGCGGGCUGGCAAGGC
rnacentral:rRNA from 1 species